UACGAAGGGGGCUAGCGUUGAUCGGAAUUACUGGGCGUACGGCGCAUGUAGGCGGAUUAGUAAGUCAGGGGUGAAAUCCCGGGGCUCAACCUCGGAACUGCCUUUGAUACUGCUGAUCUCGAGUCCGGAAGAGGUGAGUGGAAUUCCUAGUGUAGAGGUGAAAUUCGUAGAUAUUAGGAAGAACACCAGUGGCGAAGGCGGCUCACUGGUCCGGUACUGACGCUGAGGUGCGAAAGCGUGGGGAGCAAACAGG
rnacentral:rRNA from 1 species